rnacentral:tRNA from 1 species
CAAGAUAUAGUAUAUUUAUAAUGCUUCUCACUUACACUGAGCCAAUGUCACUUCGCAGACUAUCUUGA